CUUCACCGACCCCAGCCACAGCGGCUCGGCGCGGUCCUGGCCGUAGGUGGCCAGCAGCGCCUGCGCCUC
rnacentral:antisense_RNA from 3 species